rnacentral:rRNA from 1 species
GACGAACGCUGGCGGCGUGCUUAACACAUGCAAGUCGAACGGAAAGACCCUGCUUUUGUGGGGUGCUCGAGUGCCGAACGGGUGAGUAACACGUGAGUAAACUGUCCUUGUAUUUGGGAUAUCUUCAGGAAAAUGGGGCGAAUACCGGAUAGGAGCUCCUGCUGCAUGGGGGGCGUUGGAAAGUUUCGGCGGUUCGGGCUCGACUCGCGGCUUAUCCGCUUGUUGGUGGAGUAGUGGCAUACCAAGGCUUUGACGGGUAGGCGGCCUGGGAGGGGGACCGGCCACAAUGGGCCUGCGAGACGGCGCAGACGCCUACGGGAGGCAGUAGUGGGGAGUAUUGCACAGCAGGCGGGAGCCUGAUGCAGCAACGCCGCGUGCGGGAUGACGGCCUUCGGGGUGUAAACCGCUUUCGCCUGUGACGAAGCGUGAGUGACGGUAAUGGGUAAAGAAGCACCGGCUAACUACGUG